rnacentral:misc_RNA from 1 species
GAUGAAGAACGUAGCGAAAUGCGAUAAGUAAUGUGAAUUGCAGAAUUCAGUGAAUCAUCGAAUCUUUGAACGCACAUUGCGCCCCCUGGUAUUCCGGGGGGCAUGCCUGUUCGAGCGUCAUUUCACCACUCAAGCCUCGCUUGGUAUUGGGCAACGCGGUCCGCCGCGUGCCUCAAAUCGACCGGCUGGGUCUUCUGUCCCCUAAGCGUUGUGGAAACUAUUCGCUAAAGGGUGUUCGGGAGGCUACGCCGUAAAACAACCCCAUUUCUAAGGUUGACCUCGGAUCAGGUAGGGAUACCCCUGAACUUAAGCAUAUCAAUAAGCGGAGGA